GUUCUUGUAGCUUAAAAAUAAAGCGAGGAGCUUUUAACUCUUAGAUGCAACAAAACUUGUCAGGAACU
rnacentral:tRNA from 1 species